rnacentral:rRNA from 1 species
CCUACGGGUGGCAGCAGUGAGGAAUAUUGCUCAAUGGACGCGAGUCUGAACCAGCCAAGUAGCGUGAAGGAUGACUGCCCUCUGGGUUGUAAACUUCUUUUAUGUGGGAAUAAAAUGUUCCACGUGUGGGAUUUUGUAUGUACCAUAUGAAUAAGGAUCGGCUAACUCCGUGCCAGCAGCCGCGGUAAUACGGAGGAUCCGAGCCUUAUCCGGAUUUAUUGGGUUUAAAGGGAGCGUAGGUGGAUUGUUAAGUCAGUUGUGAAAUCUUGCGGCUCAACCGUAAAAUUGCAGUUGAAACUGGCAGUCUAGAGUACAGUAGAGGUGGGCGGAAUUCGUGGUGUAGCGGUGAAAUGCUUAGAUAUCACGAAGAACUCCGAUGGCGAAGGCAGUUCACUGGACUGCAACUGACACUGAGGUUCGAAAGUGUGGGUAUCAAACAGGAUUAGAUACCCUUGUAGUC